CUUAUAAUGAAGGUAUGUAUAACAUUUUAUGCUUUCCUGAAUCCUAGUGAGAAAAAAGUGACUUUUAGUUUUCAUUAUGAAAUUCCAUAUUCUUUAUAUCACCUUUUCAAACAUAAAUAUUUUGAUCAUUCUCUAGGCAUGUUAAGGGCACAGUAGCACCUGCUGAUUGAUGUGUUUUAAGAGCACUUAAAUGGCUUUUUGGAAAGCCAAAUUUUGAUUUGCAUGAACAUUACCGGUAACAAAAUCAAAAUGUGGCUUGAAAAAAGCCAUUUAAGUGUUUUUAAAACACAUUGGUCAGCAGGCACUAAUGUGCAUUUAAACAGGAAUAAAACUAAUUAUAAGUCUUCUUUACUUCUUUAGGUAUGGGGAUUGGUGUUGCAAGUGAUGACCGAAGGCAAAUUGCUCCUAACAUAACCCCUGUCCCUCCUCCUUCAGUCAAAGAACUUGUUGAAACCCAUCAGUCUAGAUUCAACUGAUCACUGUAGACAAGUGUCUGGCACUUAAAACAAAGUGCUCUGGUUAGGUGGAGCUUGUAAUCCCUGAAAGGCAGUCCACCUAGGAGAAGGAACUCUGAUUACAAACUCCCGGACCCAAAUAGUGAGUCAGGCUGUCCAUAUUGGAUUCAUUGAUCUUCGGUGCACAGCAAUACACUUUUCAGGACUGAAGUAAGGAGCAAGGAGUAAUUUUAAA
rnacentral:lncRNA from 1 species